CAAAACCGGUGUGCGCUGGGGCAGCAAACAUUGCAAAUAUAGAAAUUUUCUCUGUACAAUUAACGACUUCGGUUUACAAUGCAAUGUGUGGUAAAACCUCUCAGUGAGUGAAAAUGUGAACGGGCCUUCAACUGGGUGAAAGUCUAAACUGGAAGACUCCGUUUGCAAAAACAGCCCAAAGGAUGGAUCUCCUUCUGGUCUCUUUUUGGUUUUUUGUUGCUGUUUUUGUUGCUGUUGAUUUUUGGAAGGGUAGGAAGAAAGAACACAAACUGUUCACAAAGAAUCCACAAAAUCACGGAAUAGGGACUCAUGCAAUGCAGUACUGGGGAACGCCAGACCUCCGCUCUCUGCCCGCUGCUCCUCUUUCUUUUCAUAUUUGAUUUUUUC
rnacentral:lncRNA from 1 species